rnacentral:rRNA from 1 species
GGUGAGUAACACGUGGAUAACCUACCUAUAAGACUGGGAUAACUUCGGGAAACCGGAGCUAAUACCGGAUAACAUGUUGAACCGCAUGGUUCAACAGUGAAAGACGGUCUUGCUGUCACUUAUAGAUGGAUCCGCGUCGCAUUAGCUAGUUGGUAAGGUAACGGCUUACCAAGGCAACGAUGCGUAGCCGACCUGAGAGGGUGAUCGGCCACACUGGAACUGAGACACGGUCCAG